rnacentral:lncRNA from 1 species
UUUUUAGAAUUUUUUUUUUUUUGAAAAAAAGAUUUGGAAGAAGAAAUUUAUAGAUUAUAGAGAAAAAUAGAGAAAAACUCUGAAAAAUCAAAAAAUAGCUAAGAAAUUUCAAAAAAAAUACUGUUCCAUUGCAUUUUCUUAUAUAAUUCUAGAAGUUGUCAAUUCCUGAAGUAAUUAUCGACUUAUCUGAGGUAAAAUGGACUGAACUUGGGUAUUGAAAAGAGCUGGUUUGGUUUUGCUGAUGGUUUUACUGUUCCAUUGGUUCUUCUGAUUGGAUUUAUCACUGUUUCAUUGACUAAAUCUGAGCUGUUUGUUGCUGUUUUCUGUUGAUCUUCUCACUUCUCUCUUAUUUUGCUUCCCAGGUAUUCCGUGGAUAUGUUUAAUUUGUGAAGUGCAACAAGAGAAGCCUUUGUAAUUGAUAUGCAAUUCAAGACUUUGAUGUCUAAUGAAUGAUAAUUCAUGUUGUAUUUUGUGUUAGUUUAGUUUCUUUGGAUAUGUUCAUGUAUUUAGUUAUGAUUUUGUUUGAGUUUAUUUGGUGUUAGAUAGUUUGAGAUUCUGCUUUUAUGUGGACUAAUUAGGUUCCUUUUUUUUAAAAAAAAGUUUAGAUGGAUGAAUAAGGGUUUUGGUCUAUAGUUACACGUGCCAUUUAUAUUUCUUUGAGUAUACCUGUUGACUUAGUUAGUGUUGAAC